rnacentral:rRNA from 1 species
UACGAAGGGGGCUAGCGUUGCUCGGAAUCACUGGACGUAAAGCGCACGUAGGCGGCUUUUUAAGUCAGGGGUGAAAUCCUGGAGCUCAACUCCAGAACUGCCUUUGAUACUGAGAAGCUUGAGUCCGGGAGAGGUGAGUGAAACUGCGAGUGUAGAGGUGAAAUUCGUAGAUAUUCGCAAGAACACCAGUGGCGAAGGCGGCUCACUGGCCCGGUACUGACGCUGAGGUGCGAAAGCGUGGGGAGCAAAC